rnacentral:tRNA from 1 species
UGGAUCACCUCCUAACAGGGAGACAACAAAAUGUUUAAUAUUAUUAUUUUGUCACCUUAGGUCGAUCGGUAUCUCACGUUCUUAAUUUAUUAAGAAUUUCAUUUCCUAAGUUUUUCUAGGUCACACCCAUUAUUUUUCCUGGGCCAUUAGCUCAGGUGGUUAGAGCGCACCCCUGAUAAGGGUGAGGUCCCUGGUUCAAGUCCAGGAUGGCCCAUAUCUCUAUGUUGGGGGUAUAGCUCAGUUGGUAGAGCGCCUGCUUUGCAAGCAGGAUGUCAGCGGUUCGAGUCCGCUUACCUCCACUGAUUACCACCUCUUCCAUAACCGGUAGAAAGGAAAUUUUUUGAGUUGUGAUUAUUAUUCUGAACGAAUCUAGCUUCCUAAUGAAAUCAUUAAGAUGCUGGACUCAUUGAAUUAAUUUCAUUGUUUUCAGAGAACCUUGACAACUGCAUAGAUUAUUUUUAAAGACAAUAAGCAUCUUUAAUGAUGCAGAUUUAUUAUUUGUGCGAAUGCAUUAAUAACAAUUCUAUUGAGCUGAUGCUUCAAUUUUGAAGUUAUUGGUCAAGCUACAAAGGGCUCACGGAGGAUACCUAGGCACACAGAGGCGAUGAAGG